GUGCUCGCUUCGGCAGCACAUAUACUAAAAUUGGAACGAUACAGAGAAGAUUAGCAUGGCCCCUGCACAAGGAUGACAUGCAAAUUCAUGAAGCAUUCCAUAUUUUU
ensembl:snRNA U6 U6 spliceosomal RNA